rnacentral:lncRNA from 1 species
AAAUUAAUGUAAGGAGACACUUGGCUUAAUUUCUGGAUUUUUCUUAUGUACAUGGAGUAUAUUUGAAUAUUUAGAGACUACGAUGCCUAUUUAGGUAGCAGUAGACUACGUUUAAUAAUGUCUAUUUUUUGUCUUCGGCUGAAGCUACGGAAGAGGAGGAUCUUGAUUUUGUUGGAUUGAAGGUGAGAAGAAUGUAAUGGAGGUAUCUGGGAAUGUGGAGGUUGAUGUGUUCGGGUGGGUAGGGUGGGAUGAUUUAUAUGGUCUUUUUUAUUGCUGGAGAACAUGUUUCUCUGUUUUUUUGUUCAAAGUGCUACCAGUUAAAGAUUAACAAACAAAAAAAAAAGGAAGAAAUGGAAAAAAAGAAAAGUCGAAUUUCGUUGGAUGGCUUUAUUUACUUCAUUCUCAAUAUAAUUAAUGAUUUUAUUCUUCUGUAAUGUUAUAGUUGUGUAAUUCUGUUGAUGGUACUUUGCUAUUCUUUUACUUUUAUGCUUUGAAGCUAAACGGCAGUGAAUUGCGGUUCUCGAGAUGCUUACAAGUUACAAGUUCUGUGGGAAAAAUAUAUUUCAUCUAUUCUUUUUUACUUGUCAUUUUUGUCGAAUAUUUCUCCGUUUACUUGGUUUUAAAUUUAAACGGAACAUUAAUUUUUAUGCUUGAUAAUUACCAUUGAUAUAAAU